rnacentral:rRNA from 1 species
AUGAACGCUGGCGGCGUGCCUAAUACAUGCAAGUCGAGCGAACAGACGAGGAGCUUGCUCCUCUGACGUUAGCGGCGGACGGGUGAGUAACACGUGGAUAACCUACCUAUAAGACUGGGAUAACUUCGGGAAACCGGAGCUCAUACCGGAUAAUAUAUUGAACCGCAUGGUUCCAUAGUGAAAGACGGUUUUGCUGUCACUUAUAGAUGGAUCCGCGCCGCAUUAGCUAGUUGGUAAGGUAACGGCUUACCAAGGCGACGAUGCGUAGCCGACCUGAGAGGGUGAUCGGCCACACUGGAACUGAGACACGGUCCAGACUCCUACGGGAGGCAGCAGUAGGGAAUCUUCCGCAAAGGGCGAAAGCCUGACGGAGCAACGCCGCGUGAGUGAUGAAGGUCUUCGGAUCGUAAAACUCUGUUAUUAGGGAAGAACAAAUGUGUAAGUAAAUAUGCACGUCUUGACGGUACCUAAUCAGAAAGCCACGGCUAACUACGUG